rnacentral:tRNA from 1 species
GAGGGUGUAGCUCAAUGGUAGAGUGUGUGCUUAGUAUGCAUAAGGUCCUGGGUUCAAUCCCUGAUACCUCCA